rnacentral:rRNA from 1 species
GAUGAACGCUGGCGGCGUGCCUAAUACAUGCAAGUCGAGCGAACGGACGAGAAGCUUGCUUCUCUGAUGUUAGCGGCGGACGGGUGAGUAACACGUGGAUAACCUACCUAUAAGACUGGGAUAACUUCGGGAAACCGAAGUUAAAACCGGAUAAUAUUUUGAACCGCAUGGUUCAAAAGUGAAAGACGGUCUUGCUGUCACUUAUAGAUGGAUCCGCGCUGCAUUAGCUAGUUGGUAAGGUAACGGCUUACCAAGGCAACGAUGCAUAGCCGACCUGAGAGGGUGAUCGGCCACACUGGCACUGAGACACAGUCCAGACUCCUACGGGAGGAAGCAGUAGGGAAUCUUCCGCAAAGGACGAAAGCCUGACGGAGCAACGCCGCGUGAGUGAUGAAGGUCUUCGGAUCGUAAAACUCUGUUAUUAGGGAAGAACAAAUGUGUAAGUAACUGUGCACAUCUUGACGGUACCUAAUCAGAAAGCCACGGCUAACUACGUG